AACCCAUGGUGAGGGGACUUUCUCAAUAAGUCCUUAUACCUCUCCCAUGCAUCAUAUAGAGUCUCUAAAUCCAUUUGCACGAAGGAAGAGAUAUCAUUCCUCAACUU
rfam:Gossypium arboreum cultivar AKA8401 contig_73181_1, whole genome shotgun sequence.